rnacentral:rRNA from 1 species
GCUUUACUGUAACUUGGAAUUGAGUUUGGGCUCUUCUUGCGCAGUAUAGGUGGGAGGCUAAGAAAAUAUGCUUGCGGGCAUAUUUGAGCCAUCAUUGAGAUACCACUCUGGAAGGGUUGGAACUCUAACUUUGAGCCGUAAGCCGGCCAAAAGACAGUUUCUGGUGGGCAGUUUUGACUGGGCGGUACGCCUCCUAAAAAGUAACGGAGGCGUGCAAAGGUUCCCUCAGACUGGUCGGAAAUCAGUCGUAGAGUGUAAAGGCAUGAAGGGAGCUUAGACUGCGAGACUACAAGUCGAGCAGAGGACGAAAGUCGGCCUUAGUGAUCCGAGCGGUCCAGCGUGGAAGGGCGUCGCUCAACGGAUAAAAGUUA